rnacentral:lncRNA from 1 species
AAAGUUUGAGCAAAAAUUAAGAUUUGAUUAAAAUCCAAAAUACUACAACUGUGGCAACUCCAAAAGGUUUGGAAUGCAAUGAAAUACAUUUCAUUACAUAUUAAAGAAAAAUCAUAAAUACCAUUCUUGAAUCUUGAGUGAGUGCUUCCAACCAUGUCAGCAAUGAAGGUUGAAAAAUUUUCUUUGACCCUCAUUUUAACCAUUUUUUUUUUUUUUAGUUUUCGCCUAUCUUGAAAGAUUUUUCUGUCCCAUCAGAACUUGGACUUUUUCAAAAAAAUUAUUUUCAUCAACCUUAAUGUUGACCCUUGAUUUUUCAGCAUCCUUAUCAAACUUACCUCCUUGACUAUCAUCCCUUUCUCUCAUAUGACAUUGCCCUAAUCGUCAACUUCAAGGAUCACUUCCUUGACUCUCACACUAUAUGACUUAGAUUCAAACUCCAAAUCAAUUAUGUCAUCAAUCUCCUUAACAUCUCCUGUUUGGAUCAACAAGUAAGCAAUCUCCAUUUCUUUCAAUAUCUUUGUCUCCUCCUUUAAAGCUAACAUAUAUGUUACCCCAUAAAUUAGCUACCCUUUCCAUAGUCUUUCUACUCCAAGCCUUCACCGGAAUACCCCUGACAACACCCAAUCCAUGUGUAUCUUCUAUACUCAUGUACUUCCUUUUCCAUAUUCAAUAUCUUCUUAACAACUCUCUUUUCUCUUGGCCAUUUUUUGCGAUUCUUCUGUUUAAAAAUCAAUGGAGAUUCAUCGUCUUUCUUUCCUCCUCUGUUUUUUUUCUCAAUUCAAAUUUAAAGAAAGCAAAUCUAGAGAAAGACUUCCUCGGACCCAUGUAUAUUUUGCUUCCUAAAAUGCUCAAAGUAAUUUUAAAAAACUUCUACUCAUGUCUUCCAAGAUAAAUUCCCUAUGAAUAUCGUUUGCCUCCCUUGACAUAUGGGCUUCUCAAUUGACAUGGUUCUGCACUCCAAAUUGCUUCCAACAAUAUCAAUUCUUGCCUACAUGCACCAAAUUUAAUGCAGAGCUGAGGAUAGUUGCCUUUCUUAUAUUAACUAAAUUCUAAAUUGUUCAUGUUUUUAUUUUACCUUCGUCUGGUACUGGUUUAGAGAAGCAUGAGUUCAGUUGAUGGGGGUAAAGGCAAUUUUUCUCAGUCCAUACCAUGAAAUGUUUUGGUUUAUUAAGUUGUUGAGAUUUAAGGCGGUUUCUUUAGGACUGAAUGACUGAAUUGGUUAACCAUUAAGUGCGUUUGUUUUGAAAAAAAAUCAUUCGGAUUGAACCGGUCAGCCAUUUAGACAAUUUGGGCUGAAUAGACUGAAUGAGGGCUAAAUGAAGUUUAUUUUUAUUUUAUUUUCAAUAUUAACUAUUGUAUUAAGUAAUAUUAAAUAAAUUUAUAAUAAUUUUGAAUUUUUUUAG